GACGAACGCUGGCGGCGUGCUUAACACAUGCAAGUCGAACGGAAAGGCCCUGCUUUUGUGGGGUGCUCGAGUGGCGAACGGGUGAGUAACACGUGAGUAACCUGCCCUUGACUUUGGGACAACUUCAGGAAACUGGGGCUAAUACCGGAUAGGAGCUCCUGCUGCAUGGUGGGGGUUGGAAAGUUUCGGCGGUUGGGGAUGGACUCGCGGCUUAUCAGCUUGUUGGUGGGGUAGUGGCUUACCAAGGCUUUGACGGGUAGCCGGCCUGAGAGGGUGACCGGCCACAUUGGGACUGAGAUACGGCCCAGACUCCUACGGGAGGCAGCAGUGGGGAAUAGUGCACAAUGGGCGGAAGCCUGAUGCAGCAACGCCGCGUGCGGGAUGACGGCCUUCGGGUUGUAAACCGCUUUCGCCUGUGACGAAGCGUGAGUGACGGUAAUGGGUAAAGAAGCACCGGCUAACUACGUG
rnacentral:rRNA from 1 species